rnacentral:rRNA from 1 species
GAAUUCGAUUCAGGCCUAACACAUGCAAGUCGAACGGCAGCACAGGAGAGCUUGCUCUCUGGGUGGCGAGUGGCGGACGGGUGAGGAAUACAUCGGAAUCUACCCUUUCGUGGGGGAUAACGUAGGGAAACUUACGCUAAUACCGCAUACGAUCUGAGGAUGAAAGCAGGGGACCGCAAGGCCUUGCGCGAUUGGAUGAGCCGAUGUCCGAUUAGCUAGUUGGCGGGGUAAAGGCCCACCAAGGCGACGAUCGGUAGCUGGUCUGAGAGGAUGAUCAGCCACACUGGAACUGAGACACGGUCCAGACUCCUACGGGAGGCAGCAGUGGGGAAUAUUGGACAAUGGGGGCAACCCUGAUCCAGCACAGGCCGCGUGUGUGAAGAAGGCCUUCGGGUUUAAAGCAAAGGGUGGGAAAGAAAUCCUGUCGGCCAAUACCCGGC